rnacentral:rRNA from 1 species
GACGAACGCUGGCGGCGUGCUUAACACAUGCAAGUCGAACGGAAAGGCCCUGCUUUUGUGGGGUGCUCGAGUGGCGAACGGGUGAGUAACACGUGAGUAACCUGCCCUUGACUUUGGGAUAACUUCAGGAAACUGGGGCUACUACCGGAUAGGAGCUCCUGCUGCAUGGUGGGGGUUGGAAAGUUUCGGCGGUUGGGGAUGGACUCGCGGCUUAUCAGCUUGUUGGUGGGGUAGUGGCUUACCAAGGCAUUGACGGGUAGCCGGCCUGAGAGGGUGACCGGCCACAUUGGGACUGAGAUACGGCCCAGACUCCUACGGGAGGCAGCAGUGGGGAGUAUUGCACAAUGGGCGGAAGCCUGAUGCAGCAACGCCGCGUGCGGGAUGACGGCCUUCGGGUUGUAAACCGCUUUCGCCUGUGACGAAGCGUGAGUGACGGUAAUGGGUAAAGAAGCACCGGCUAACUACGUG